GCAAUACAAAAGCAAUACGACUACAAUACAAUCGCAAUAAAAUCACAAUACGAUUGCUGUUCUUGAAGAGGGCAUGUAAACCUGGACUUCAAAACCCCCCAAAAUUGGACCAAAAUGGUCAAACAAUGGCCACCUAAUGCCAACACAUGCUGUCAUAUUCAGAAAAGAUGGUUUUGUUUGGGUUUGUUUAGGUUGCAAAAGGGAUUCGAAGAGAGACGAAAUUGGGGUUUGGAUUUGGGUAGAAAAGAAAACAAAGAGGAAGAGGAAGAACUGAGUUUUGAGGACAAAGCUGUGGGUUUUGUAGGUUGUUCUUGAUCUUCUUCUUCAUAAGAAGAUGCGUAGUUAGUUCAAUUUAACAUCAAAACUUACAUAUUCCCAACAAUUCAUUUUCUGGAAAAGUUGUUCUUGAAGAGGGCAUGUAAACCCAGACUUCAAAACCCCCCAAAAUUGGACCAAAAUGCUCAAACAAUGGCCACCUAAUGCCAACACAUGCUGUCAUAUUCAGAAAAUAUGGUUUUGUUUGGGUUUGUUUAGGUUGCAGAAGGGAUUCGAAGAGAGACGAAAUUGGGGUUUG
rnacentral:lncRNA from 1 species